GACGUAGGGCGCGAGCGUUGUCCGGAUUUAUUGGGCGUAAAGAGCUCGUAGGCGGCUUGUCGCGUCGACUGUGAAAUCCCGCGGCUCAACUGCGGGUCUGCAGCCGAUACGGGCAGGCUAGAGUUCGGUAGGGGAGACUGGAAUUCCUGGUGUAGCGGUGAAAUGCGCAGAUAUCAGGAGGAACACCGGUGGCGAAGGCGGGUCUCUGGGCCGUAACUGACGCUGAGGAGCGAAAGCAUGGGGAGCGAACAGG
rnacentral:rRNA from 1 species